rnacentral:rRNA from 1 species
AGCAGCGCCGCGGGAAUACAGAGGGUGCGAGCGUUAAUCGGAUUUACUGGGCGUAAAGCGUGCGUAGGCGGCUAAUUGAGUCGGAUGUGAAAUCCCCGAGCUUAACUUGGGAAUUGCAUUCGAUACUGGUUAGCUAGAGUGUGGGAGAGGAUGGUAGAAUUCCAGGUGUAGCGGUGAAAUGCGUAGAGAUCUGGAGGAAUACCGAUGGCGAAGGCAGCCAUCUGGCCUAACACUGACGCUGAGGUACGAAAGCAUGGGGAGCAAACAGGAUUAGAUACCCCCGUAGUCCCUGUCUCUUAUACA